CCGUAGGUGAACCUGCGGAGGGAUCAUUACACAAAUAUGAAGGCGGGCUGGAACCUCUCGGGGUUACAGCCUUGCUGAAUUAUUCACCCUUGUCUUUUGCGUACUUCUUGUUUCCUUGGUGGGUUCGCCCACCACUAGGACAAACAUAAACCUUUUGUAAUUGCAAUCAGCGUCAGUAACAAAUUAAUAAUUACAACUUUCAACAACGGAUCUCUUGGUUCUGGCAUCGAUGAAGAACGCAGCGAAAUGCGAUAAGUAGUGUGAAUUGCAGAAUUCAGUGAAUCAUCGAAUCUUUGAACGCACAUUGCGCCCUUUGGUAUUCCAAAGGGCAUGCCUGUUCGAGCGUCAUUUGUACCCUCAAGCUUUGCUUGGUGUUGGGCGUCUUGUCUCUAGCUUUGCUGGAGACUCGCCUUAAAGUAAUUGGCAGCCGGCCUACUGGUUUCGGAGCGCAGCACAAGUCGCACUCUCUAUCAGCAAAGGUCUAGCAUCCAUUAAGCCUUUUUUCAACUUUUGACCUCGGAUCAGGUAGGGAUACCCGCUGAACUUAAGCAUAUCAAUAAGCCGGAGGA
rnacentral:rRNA from 1 species